rnacentral:rRNA from 1 species
CCUACGGGAGGCAGCAGUGAGGAAUAUUGGUCAAUGGUCGGGAGACUGAACCAGCCAAGCCGCGUGAAGGAUGAAGGUACAGAGUAUCGUAAACCUCUUUUGUCAGGGAACAAAGGCGGGGACGUGUCCCCGGAUGAGUGUACCUGAAGAAAAAGCAUCGGCUAACUCCGUGCCAGCAGCCGCGGUAAUACGGAGGAUGCGAGCGUUAUCCGGAUUUAUUGGGUUUAAAGGGUGCGCAGGCGGUCUGUUAAGUCAGCGGUCAAAGCCCGGGGCUCAACCCCGGCCCGCCGUUGAAACUGGCAGUCUAGAGUUGGAGAGAGGUAUGCGGAAUGCGCGGUGUAGCGGUGAAAUGCAUAGAUAUCGCGCAGAACUCCGAUUGCGAAGGCAGCAUGCCGGCUCCAAACUGACGCUGAGGCACGAAAGCGUGGGUAUCGAACAGGAUUAGAUACCCCGGUAGUC